rnacentral:rRNA from 1 species
GAUGAACGCUGGCGGCGUGCCUAAUACAUGCAAGUCGAGCGAAGCGGGGACGGGUGAGUAAUACGUGGAUAACCUCCUCUAAGUCUGGGAUAACUUCGGGAAACCGGAGCUAAACCGGAUACUUAUAGUCGCAUCCGUGCUGCAUUAGCUAGUUGGUAAGGUAACGGCAUACCAAGGCCACGAUGCAUAGCCGACCUGAGAGGGUGAUCGGCCACACGGGAGCUGAGACACGGUCCAGACUCCGACGGGAGGCAGCAGUAGGGAAUCUUACGCAAUGGGCGAAAGCCUGACGGAGCAACGCCGCGUGAGUGAUGAAGGUCUUCGGAUCGUAAAACUCUGUUAUUAGGGAAGCGGUACCUAAACAGAAAGCCACGGCUAACUACGUGCCAGCAGCCGCGGUAAUAC